rnacentral:lncRNA from 1 species
UUUUUUAAAACCCCGGUCAUCAGGAGAAACGAAGCACACAAUGGGACAAAAUAUAUAUCAUGUACAGGUUGCCAAUGAAGUUGUAAACUGUUUGUUCCAGCAUAUCGUUUGCAUGGUUGAUAGACUACUAGCGGCUAUGAAUAUUUAUUCUAGUACAUGUAUAUUGUAAUUAAUAGCCUUACUUUUUCAGGUCUUGUUUAUGCAGAGAAGUGCACCGAUACACAAACAUGCAUCCAAAAUAAAAUAACAAACUGUACGCAAGGUUCUCAUGUUGUCUGCUAUCCCAGCAUUCAAAUAUGCGCAUGUAUAUUCUUCCCAGUAGAUGUUGGUGUGCCAUGUACAGACCAGGCCGAGUGUACGACAUGUAAGGCAGGAAAUGAACCUCACUGUAUUGACCGCAUUUGCCAUUGUACAAGAGUGAACUGAUUUUGAUACAUUAAAAUGUUUGAAUUUACCA